UUAUGCCUACCUAGGAGAAUUGGGAAUGACAUUGAGAGGUUAAAAGGGACUCAAUUCGUUUGGGGAUCGAACGAACAAUGAAAAAACGCUCACUUGUAGUCAAGUGGGAUACUCCCCCAAGGAAUCAUGGAGGGCUUGGCUUUUGGUUCGCUUGAAGCUGAGGGAGGGAAAAGGAAAGAGAAAGAAGGCUGAAAUCCUUGGUUUGGUUGUUGUUGUUGUUGUUAUUAUUAUUAUUAUUAUUUACUGAAUGGUUUGUAUUAUUUUACCUUAAAGAAAAUUAAUUUGUUAAUCCUUAUAAUUUCACUUGAUUUUUAAUAUGGUUAUUGUAGUUAUUUUUCAUUUAAUUGGGUCCUUAUAAUUUUUAUAAAUUGCCAUAACAAUGCAUACAUAUAUCGUGGUUAUAUAUGUAAUUUAGGUUAGUGAUAUAAAAUGGUGUGAAAUAUAAUAUGUAGGGUUAAGAUAUUAGUCCAAGCAUAAAGUUGUGUAGUUUGAAUGGAUAAUUGAGUGAAAUUUGGCCAAGUGUGAAUUUAUGUGAUUUUAUGAGAUGAGUCAUGUUGUGUUGAAAUGGAGUCAAGUGACCAAAUUUAUGUAUAGUUGUAUUUUUGUUGAUAUAUUUGCUCAAUCAAGUGGAAAAUGUAUAUUUGGUUGUUGUUAAGGUCUUAAAAGUGAUUAAUGAUACAAGAUUGUGAUUUGGGACACUCAUAUGUGAAAUAAUGACAAGAUCUAAUUACCUUCAUGUAUUAAAUGAAUAUAGUUUGGUAAUGUUUGGGAAGACGGUACAAGAAGAGGGGUCAAAAACAUUUAUAACCUUUCUAAGAUGAAGAAUAACCAAUGGACACACACUUGACAACCUUGGGUUCAAGUUUGGAAGCAGAGUUAAGAUGGACAAAAGUUGAGCACCCAAAAAUUUUCGAUGGAAGAUAAGUUUCAAGGUGGCAUGGAGAAUGAACUUUAUGAAGGAGAUCAAGUGGUGGCAUAGGUUAAAAUUUUUGGUUGGCAUUCGAUUUAUGAGCAUCACGGGCACAAAACCAUUCCUCCUUGUGUUGAGGUCAAUCUCUUGCUAUAUUGCAACCAGUUCCAACCAAACCUCUUGAAGAUCGUGUUCACCUUGUUUGAUCUACCAACUUUUAAUUUUCAGAUCAUAUGAUCAAGCACCAUCCUUACCAUCCAAGCUUGAUUCUCGAACAACAUCCCAGAUAUCUUUCACCAUCAGCAAGAACGUGAGAGAACAUCGAACCUAUGGGAGCCAUAGCUGUGACCAACCACAAAACCACCAUCGAGUUCUUAAUCUCCCACUUCAACGUGGCCAUUGUGUUUAACCCAUCUAGUGUCUUGGAAUCAUUGGUACUGAAGCCCAGCUUGCCAUAACCACCAAUAACAAGCCUUAUGGGUUGAGCCCACUCAUAAUAAUUGUGUCCGUUGAACUUGUCAGACAAAAGAAGAGAGGACCAUUUGGCAGAACUCAACCCAUAGGGAGUUUCUCUAUGGGUGUGCAUUAGCAGAAUCUUGGUGCCGAAACCCACGGAAGACAGUCUCAAGCAGCUCAACUCAGACUCCCCUUCUGGUCGAACAUUGAUGCCUUCAAUUUCUAGGUCAAAGUCAACUUGCUUUGAUACCAUGUAGGAAUUUGGACCAGAAGCUUGAAAGUUCCACUCUGUUAUUCGGGAUAUGUACAUGAGUUACAUGAGCUGACUGUAUAAGGAAAUAAUAAACAAAAUCAAAUCACUCAUUUACACCCACAAUCUCAUAAUUAUAUUCCUAUAAAUCUGGAGUAAAUAAUUCUUAAUUAAUUUCUAAUUAA